AGAAAUAAAUUAAUCGUAAAAUAUUUUAACAAUCAAUGCCAAAAGUGUAAAAAAUAACCAACGAAACAAUAAAUUAAAAAAAAAUUAAUUAGAUAUGACGAUACAACAUUAAAUUAAGACCAAAAUGCUUCUAUUUACAUAAUCUUAUUUGAGUACUUUCUUAAGUGUUUGGAAUUUGUUGCAGUGUUUUAAGAAUCAUUUAAAAGGUGUUAGGAUUUUGUUUAAAGAGUGUUGAGAAUAUGUUAAAAGGUGUUGAGAAUAUGUUAAAAUGUUUUAAGGAUUGUUUCAAAAGUUUUAAGAAUCAUUUUAAAGGUUUUAAGAAUUUUUAUAAAUGCUUUAAGAAUAUUCAUAAAUGUUUUAAGAAUCAUUUUAAAGGUAUUUGGAAUUUGGUCGCAAAGUUCUUAGGAUUCAUUCAGGGUGUUAAUUCAGGGAUCAGGGUGAAUUUGUAAUCUUUUUUUAAUCAACAAUUAGCAAUUAACAACUAUUUAAUAUUUUUUAAUGUUUAAAUCUUUUUAAAAAGAAGAAUAAAAUAAAUAUUUGAAUAAAGUACGUAGUUCGA
rnacentral:lncRNA from 1 species